GACAGAGGGUGCAAACGUUGUUCGGAAUUACUGGGCGUAAAGCGCGUGUAGGCAGUUUCGCAAGUCGGGUGUGAAAGCCCUGGGCUCAACCUAGGAAGUGCACUCGAAACUGCGAGACUUGAGUCCUGGAGAGGAAGGCGGAGUUCUCGGUGUAGAGGUGAAGUUCGUAGAUAUCGAGAGGAACACCGGUGGCGAAGGCGGCCUUCUGGACAGUGACUGACGCUGAGACGCGAAAGCGUGGGGAGCAAACAGG
rnacentral:rRNA from 1 species